rnacentral:tRNA from 1 species
CGAGACGUGGCCCAGUUGGAAGGGUGCUCGCUUUGGAAGCGAGGGAUCGUGGGUUCGAGUCCCACCGUCUCGA